rnacentral:rRNA from 1 species
GAUGAACGCUGGCGGCGUGCCUAAUAUAUGCAAGUCGAGCGAACGGACGAGAAGCUUGCUUCUCUGAUGUUAGCGGCGGACGGGUGAGUAACACGUGGAUAACCUACCUAUAAGACUGGGAUAACUUCGGGAAACCGUAGCUAAUACCGGAUAAUAUUUUGAACCGCAUGGUUCAAAAGUGAAAGACGGUCUUGCUGUCACUUAUAGAUGGAUCCGCGCUGCAUUAGCUAGUUGGUAAGGUAACGGCUUACCAAGGCAACGAUGCAUAGCCGACCUGAGAGGGUGAUCGGCCACACUGGAACUGAGACACGGUCAAGACUCCUACGGGAGGCAGCAGUAGGGAAUCUUCCGCAAUGGGCGAAAGCCUGACGGAGCAACGCCGCGUGAGUGAUGAAGGUCUUCGGAUCGUAAAACUCUGUUAUUAGGGAAGAACAUAUGUGUAAGUAACUGUGCACAUCUUGACGGUACCUAAUCAGAAAGCCACGGCUAACUACGUG